rnacentral:rRNA from 1 species
AUUGAACGCUGGCGGCAUGCUUUACACAUGCAAGUCGAACGGCAGCGGGUCCUUCGGGAUGCCGGCGAGUGGCGAACGGGUGAGUAAUGCAUCGGAACAUACCCAGUCGUGGGGGAUAACGUAGCGAAAGUUACGCUAAUACCGCAUACGUCCUGAGGGAGAAAGCGGGGGACCGCAAGACCUCGCGCGAUUGGAGUGGCCGAUGUCAGAUUAGCUAGUUGGUGGGGUAAAGGCCCACCAAGGCGACGAUCUGUAGCGGGUCUGAGAGGAUGAUCCGCCACACUGGGACUGAGACACGGCCCAGACUCCUACGGGAGGCAGCAGUGGGGAAUUUUGGACAAUGGGGGCAACCCUGAUCCAGCCAUGCCGCGUGCGGGAAGAAGGCCUUCGGGUUGUAAACCGCUUUCGGACGGAAAGAAAUCGCCAUCUCUAAUACAGGUGGUGGAUGACGGUACCGUAAGAAGAAGCACCGGCUAACUACGUGCCAGCAGCCGCCGCCGUAA